AGAAAAAGGUUUUCUAGUUUCUUCUACAUUAAAAAUAAUCCCUCCUUCUCAUAAAGCACAAUUUUACAGAGGAAAAGGGAGAUGUGAAACUAUACACAAUUCAAAUCUAAUUAAUAUAUAAUUUUUUUGUGGAAUACAGAUGGAGGGAAUACAUCACAAUACUAAAGGUGAUUAUCUUUGGAUGGUGGGAUUACAGGUGAUUAUAUAUUUUUUAUAUUUCUAUAGUUUAAAAAUAUUCCAUGAUGACCUAUAAUUACUUUUACUUAUUUUUUGAGACAAAAUCUCACCCUGUUGACCAAGGCUGGAGCGCAGUGGUGCAAUCUCGGCUUAGUGCAAUCUCGGUGUAGUCUCGACCUCACAGGCUCAAGUGAUCCUCCCACCUCAGCCUCCGGAGAAGCUGGGACUACAGCUCUUUGCCCAGCUUCCAGUGACUCCUCUGUGCCUGGAGAGAAGGGCAAGCGCCUUACUCAUGCCUUGAGGUUGCUGACCACUUCCGUCACCAGCCUCGCUCCUUCCAGACCUGCCCUGGGAGUCCCUGCCUCCUGGCCUUCACCUGCAUCACGGUCUGCACUUCUCAGAGCCCUGCCCUUCCUUGAAGAACAAAGCCUGGCCAAAUUGUGUCAGCCUUCUGGCCUGCAGUGACCCCUGCUUACAUCGUACAUAACAAUAGCUAUAACUUAUUGACAUUAACUUCAGGUCACAUAGCAAAAGUGCUCUCAUUUAAAUCUUAGGCCACCAGAGGAUCCAUAGACUAAAAUGUUAACAGCAUCUCCUGGAGUUGUGGAGUGUGGUGACCCUAUGUGAUCCUCCUGUGCCACUGAGAGAUAUAUUAUUAACCCAGUUUCACUGAUAAGAUAACUGAGGCUCAGAGAGGUCAAGUAACUUGCCCAUGGUCACACAGUGGGUCCAUGGCAGAGCUGGGAGGUGAUCCCUAGUCAGUUCCCUCCAAGUCCAGGAUUUUCUCACUCCCACAAUGGUGUCUCCCUUAAUGACUCUCACAUUCCAGCCUCUGAGGGCAGGAAGGGUAUGUUCUGAGUUGAACACACAGAGAGCACUCAAUGAUGUCUGGUGGUGAAGAUGUUAAUCAUGAGCUCAAUCAAGGUUUAUCAUUAAAUCAACAAGUCUUCCUAGUGUGUCUGGGAGCUCUGGGGCCCAGGGACAGGCCUACUGUAGUUCAGUGUUGUAUUCUGGCACCUGGUGGUUUCUGGCACAUAGCCCAUGUUCAUUAAAUGACAUGAAUUGAUUGUCCAUUCAAAUAAUAAAACAAUAAAUAAAUAAUACUAGCUAACAGGUAUGGAGUGCCUACAAGCCAGCCACCUCAGGGAGUUUCCAGGACAGUUGAGGAGAAACAUAACACUGUUGACAAGAGCUACAACGUAGGGUUUUACACCAAAACAGUGUCUACGUAAACAGUGUCUAUCAAAGAGAGAAAAAUGAUGGGCAGACACCCUGAUCCUUCCCACAGUGCUAAAGGCCAUGCCAGCCACUGUCCCCAUUACGACUUGCAUAUACUGACUGCCGAAGCACACAAACCUGAAUUUUCCGUCUGCAUCCAUCGUUCUGUCUGUUCGGAUCACAUCUGGAUACUACUGUUGCCUCUCCAGACUGGAUAACCAGUCUGCUGAGGGCCAGAAGAUGGUGAGAUGGAAACUAGUCAUGUUUACUUGGAGAAGAGAAAUGAAGACCGUCUUUAACACCUGACAGGUUGCUCUUCCCAAGAGGGGCCAGAGGGCAACAGCCAUGGUCAACAGCUCCAGGCACCCCUGAGGAAGCCUGCUCCAGCUGGCAGGGCUGUCUGGCAAGGGACCAGUCCCUCCUCUGGAGAAGUGGUGAGCCCAGUGGGCUGCCUCUCCAGCAGGAUCCUGUAGAGACCUUACUCUCUACAAUGCACACUCCACACACUUGCUCACUUGACAAACACUUAUUAUAACUGUCACCCUGGGCCCAUUCCAGGUUAGGGACAUAAGGAUGAAUAAAACAAGGUCUGUACCAGUAGAGAACAUCAGUCCUCUAGGGGAGAAAGUCAGGAAAGCCUCAUCCUGAGCCUUCGACUCCUUACUGUCCAUCCUCUAGGCUCCUGUCUCAGCUUCUGCUGAAGGCUAUUUUCUUCCUUGUAUUCUGCAGUGACCAGGCAUAUGGCAGAUAAUCAACAAAUACAGGCAUCCCUGAAGAGGGUAUCCUGGGAUAAAAGCCCCAGCUGGAUCAGUGCUAUACAGGGGCCAACUGGGGGUGGGUUCCAGGCAGGGUCAUUUGCAAGGGUCCCUCUGCCCCUUCAAGUCCUGCCAGACAGGCCUUGGCCAUGGUUUCUUCCUGCCCCUGUCCCCUGACCACAGUUGAUCUCCCCUGGCUGUUAUGAAAUGUCAAAGAAUGUCCUGCAAUCCUAAAUUCCAUAAUGAUCUUUAUCUUCUGUUCCCUCUGAGGCUCCUCAAUCUGCAGUAACAGCUGUGGUUCAGCAAGCAGUGCGGCACUCUGGAGUGCUGUUCUGAAACAGGGCCGGCGUGGGGCAGAGCUCAUCUGCUGCCCUAUCCAUUCACUGUGCUGUUCGGGGCUAGAGAAGAUUCAUGUGUGUAUAUGCUUUUUAAAAAUUGUGAAACAAUAAUUAUGCAGAAAAAUACAUAGAAUAUAUGUUCAGUUUAACAAAUAAUCAUAAAGCAAAUCUCUAUAAAACCACUGCUGCUCUGCAGUGACCCCUGCUUCCCCCUAAGUCGUGCAUAACAAUAGCUACAAUUUACUGACCAUGAACUUCAGGUCACACAGCAAAGGUGUUCUCAUUUAAUCUUUGGCCACCAGAGGCUGCAUAGACUAAAAUGUGAACAGUGUCCCCUGCAGUUGUGGAGUGUGGUGACCCUAUUGGAUCUUCUCAUGCCACUGAGGGAUAUACUGUUUUCUGUAGAGAAGUCCAGCAGAGUCACUGUCCUGGGGGGCAUCCUUCUUGAUCGCCCCCAUGCCAUGAAGGCCCAUUCCUUGCCCAGGGCUCUAGAGUCUGAGCUUCUCCAAGAGGGAAUGGAGUCUUUCGCAGAGGGGCUGUGGAGCCUCGUAAGGCUGAAUCUAACCACGAGCAGGGAUUUUGGGCAGCUGCAUAUCCCAGAUGGUUUCCCAGUGGAUCAGCUUCCUGUUGCUGCUCUAAUAAACUAACAUAAACUUAGGGGCUUAAAACAACACAAAUUUCUUUUCUUAUAGUUCCGUAGGUCAGAAGUCCAAAACAGGUCUCACUGGGCUAAACUGAAGGUGUCAGCAGGGCUGCAUUCCUUCCUGGGGGCUCUAGUAGAGAAUCUCUUUCCUUUCUUCCCCUUUCCAGCUUUUAGAGGCUGCCUGCAUUCCUUGGCCUGCGGCCCCUUCCUCCACCUUCAAAGCCAGCACUGGCUGGCCAGGUCUUUCAUAUAUUGCAAUCUCUCUGCUUCUGCUUCUGCUUCUGACCCUUCUGCCUCUCUCUUCUCCAUUUAAGAAUGCUUGUGAUUACAUUGGGCUCACCCACCCCAGUUUCUACCCAAUAAUCCAGGGUAAUCUCCCAAACUUAAAGAGAGAAAACAAUACUAGCACCCCCAAAGCACCUACGUGUUCCCCUACUAAUCACAACCCCAACCCUCCCUUCUGCAUAAGUAGACAUUUGUAAUAAUUCUGUGCUUUUUGUAGUUUGACCUCCUCUGCAUGUAUCCUUAACAAUACAGUUUUGCCAGCUGUUAAAUUUUUGCUAAAAGGAAUUAUACUGUAUGCAUUCUUUUGUAGGUUUUAUUCAUUGAUGAGUCAUUUGUUAUUACAGUAUUAUUAUCCAAUAUGACAAUAUUACAGUUAUUGCA
rnacentral:lncRNA from 1 species